AACGAACGCUGGCGGCAGGCUUAACACAUGCAAGUCGAACGGGUGUAGCAAUACAUCAGUGGCGCACGGGUGAGUAACGCGUGGGAAUAUGCCCUUUGGUACGGAACAACCUCGGGAAACCGAGGCUAAUACCGUAUAAUAUCUGCGGAUCAAAGAUUUAUCGCCAAAGGAUUAGCCCGCGUUGGAUUAGGUAGUUGGUGAGGUAACGGCUCACCAAGCCGACGAUCCAUAGCUGGUCUGAGAGGAUGAUCAGCCACUCUUGGACUGAGACACGGCCCAGACUCCUACGGGAGGCAGCAGUGAGGAAUAUUGGACAAUGGAGGAAACUCUGAUCCAGCCAUGCCGCGUGAGUGAUGAAGGCCUUCGGGUUGUAAAGCUCUUUUACCCCUGACGAUAAUGACGGUAAGGGGAGAAAAAGCCACGGCUAACUUCGUGCCAGCCGCCGCAGUAA
rnacentral:rRNA from 1 species